rnacentral:tRNA from 1 species
AUAGCGAAAUAGGUGAGGAUGCUGAACCAACCCAUUCUCACUGGGAAGUCACCCCAGAUUGGGGGAUUUUGGUUCGAAUCCAAUUCGUGAUA